rnacentral:misc_RNA from 1 species
GCGUUUUCAACUUGCGAUCUGGCAAUAACCUCAACAGAAAGAGCGCUUUUAGUGCUUCAAAGCCAGUGAAUGCAUAGCGUUUUCCUACCUUUGAUGUCACCAUUGACAGCAGAGCGUCCAGCGAUCUCAUAUUAGCAAUCGGAUUAUCCUCCACCAAGCAAGUGAAAGCUGACACUUUAUCGGCCGACGUCCCCGACCUUGCAGUCAUCUCG